UUCUUCGGAUGAUUCUUAACUGACUGAGCGGCGGACGGGUGAGUAACGCGUGGGUGACCUGCCCCAUACCGGGGAAUAACAGUUAGAAACGGCUGCUAAUACCGCAUAAGCGCACGGCAUCGCAUGAUGCAGUGUGAAAAACUCCGGUGGUAUAAGAUGGACCCGCGUUGGAUUAGCUAGUUGGUGAGGUAACGGCCCACCAAGGCGACGAUCCAUAGCCGACCUGAGAGGGUGACCGGCCACAUUGGGACUGAGACACGGCCCAAACUCC
rnacentral:rRNA from 1 species